GUUCGAUCCGUCCCCAACUAUAUAGUAAUUUGGGCACAUAGACAAGUCUGAGAUCCGACUAUAAAGGGAAAAGAGAGAGGUUGACUUCAAAAAAGCUCAUACUCGGUGUUGAUCCGGGCCCAGGCUUCUCUCCCUCCCUCUCCGGCUGCCUCCUCUGCUCCGGCGUGGCGUCGCCAGUUCCGACCGCCGCACGCCACGAAACCGCCACCAAUCUCUUCCUCUCUUUCUUCUCUACAAGACCUAGUCCUCAAAUCGCACAUUCUUCCACCUAUAGAGGAGAUCGAAGUCGACGAACACGACUGUGUUCGUCGGAUUCCGGCAAGCUCAGGCGACGAGGCGGCUACCGAUAGGUUUUUCCGGCAACGUUGUUUCGGCUCCAAGGAGGAUUUCGGUGAAGAGACGAUAUGAGUGGCCUGGUGUAACUGAUGCACGUCGGAGGUGAAAGCAAGCAGAGGAGCAGUAGUGGGAGACUUGAUUGGUGUUGAGCUACUCUUUGGGUGUAAAGAGUAGUUUUGGAGUUGGUCUCACACAAGUUGAUCGCAAGUGUAACUAGGAGCUCAUCAGAGGUGGGAGAGAGCUAGCUACUGCUCUAGGAAUCCAGUUUUAGAGUUUGAAGGGAGUGACUCUGUAGGGAGUUAGUCUUGAAAGUUAACAAGAGACAUUCAGGUGUAGUAAUUGACGCCUACCACUUACCUGGAAAGCAUAUAAUAGGUGAAGCUGCUAGCGCUUUGAACUUCAAAGAACUUAAGAACCUAGAAGGAAUAUUAGAGAAAAGAAUCAGCAGAAUAAGAUCCAAAAAGGUACCGAGUAAACAUUCAAUUUUUAUUUGGGACAUAUUUAUAUUUAACUAUUUCCUCAUUGAUAUGUACUCAGAAUUUCAAUCCACAUUUUUCAAUAUAUAUGCCACCAAAAUAAAAUGUUGUUUGCUGACAUGUUGUUUUUCAGGAUAUAUUUUGGCAAGAGCCAUUGGAGGAGUUUGUUAUUGUGUUGACGAAGUGUUCAUUGUCCAGAAAAAAGAUUAUGUAGAUUUUCAUUUGAGUAUAGAUAUUGAGAAGUAUUGUAUUUUUAUUUGGUAGCUUGUACUUAACAUUUUUGCUGUGGUACAAUAUAAGACAAAAAACUGGGUCCCUAUUAGUAAAAACCAAAACCAGGGUAAAUAUUUCAAAACCCAAUUGGUGUUUUAUUGCAAUUUUCAAUUAUUUUUUUUGUUAAAUUU